ensembl:rRNA 5S_rRNA 5S ribosomal RNA
GUCUACGGCCACACCACCCUGGAUGCGCCCGAUCUCGCAUGAUCUCGGAAGCUAAGCAGGGUCGGGCCUGGUUAGUACUUGGAUGGGAGACAAAUGAAGGAAAUUUUGAUUUACCACACU